rnacentral:lncRNA from 1 species
CCAGGAUCGCCCCGUGCCCGCCUGGCAUCGGCCCCUGCCCGCCCGGCACCCAGGACGCGCUGCGAACUUUCCGAGCCCGGCCGGGCCGAAGGGUUUGGCCACACACAGGGGCAAACGCCAGAUUGGAGAAAUCGGACUCAUCGCACACAAGGACUGGGCUGAGCCCGCUGGGACGUUAUGAACUCAGCCUUACCGGGGAGCUGGUCCUGUACGGAUUAGGAUUAAUUGGGGGGGGGGGGGCUCUUAGACCAUCUGGAGCCCAGGGCCUGGGCCCUAGCCGCAGAAACCCUCCCUGACUUCUAGGGGGAGUUCUGCUUAACCCGAAGGCAUGAUAGGGCCCCUGGUUUUUCUAACCGGCUUGUUGUUAAUAAUAAAAACUGGAUUGGGAUCAGUAGAGGGGGUGGGUUGUGUGUGUGUACACAUCUCUCUGUACCUGGGCAUUAACAGACACCUAUCUGAACAUGUCCAACUGUUCCACUCCGGAGAACUCGUCUUCCUUCCCAUUGGUGUGAAUCCUGGCUACCUUUAACCCUGUAUUUACCAAUGAAAUCCUUUAAUCCUGUUUAUUUCAACACCCUCUUUUGUUCCCUUUCACUACAGGUCAUGAAGCUAACCCCUUAUUCCUGCACCUCCUCAUCAUAUGCUGCUGUAUUAGAAAAUAUAUCAACCAGCUUUGGGUAUGUGGUGCUUUCUAGAGGUGCUCAUCCCCUCCAGCUCCUGACGCCUUCCCCUGAGGACGUGGUGGAUGGUCAGCAGCUCUGAAGAACCCUGCCUGAAGGAUCUCAUCCACGAUGAUAGUGCAAAUCAACUCAGAGCCAGAAUUCGAGUUCCGAAGUUCCUGUCUCCCAGUGCUGUGUGGCUCCGUUAGACCCUGCUGCCUCUCUCCAUGAGGAAGUCAGCUGUGGAGCUGCAGUUAAUAAUACAUUAAAAAGGAUGCUUGGGUACAUUCAUAAUGACUAGAAAAUAAUGCCAAUAUGUUGUAACGACAUUAAACUAAUACCCGGAUAUUAUAUUGUACUUUUCAUAAGUAGAUCUCCUAGCACUUUGCAAAGUACAUCAAUAUUAUUUCCAUUUAACAGAUAGGGAAAUUGAGGUACAGAGAAGGACAGAACUUGCCCCAGGUCAUUCAGGAAGCCCACAGUAAAUCCAGGAAUAAAAUCUUGGACUCAGAUCUCCCA